AUCACGAAAUGCUCCUAACAAUAAACAAAUACAGCAAAAGAAAAAAGAAAAGAAAAGGCACAGCUCGUCAAACUUUACGGGGCCGCAGCAUGCCAGUUCCAGCCGCGGCCUCGAUCACGGCCGGCCCGUCGGCGGCGGCGACGCCACGCCCUUCCAGCUUGACUCACCGCCGUCCCUCCCCCUCCUCGUGGACCCGUCCCAGCCUCUCCGCACCGAGCCGUCGCCGCCGCCUCGCGCCCAGGAGACCGUCCUGGCCAGGAACGAUUGCCACCGGCGCCCGCCGUGGCUGCUCCCCCCGCCGUUGCCAAAGCUUCCUGCUCCUGCUACGCCCCUUCCGCCUCGGGAGCUCCCCUCGGAACUCAUGUCCGAGAGGUUGAGCAGGCUGGUGGCGUGGCGCAGGCGGCGAGACCGGAGCACCUGCUCCCGCACGUGCUCC
rnacentral:misc_RNA from 1 species